rnacentral:rRNA from 1 species
AACGAACGCUGGCGGCAGGCUUAACACAUGCAAGUCGAGCGCCCCGCAAGGGGAGCGGCAGACGGGGUGAGUAACGCGUGGGAACAUACCCUUUGGUUCGGAAUAACUCAGGGAAACUUGAGCUAAUACCGGAUACGUCCGUAAGGAGAAAGAUUUAUCGCCAAAGGAUUGGCCCGCGUCCGAUUAGCUAGUUGGUGAGGUAACGGCUCACCAAGGCUACGAUCGGUAGCUGGUCUGAGAGGAUGAUCAGCCACAUUGGGACUGAGACACGGCCCAAACUCCUACGGGAGGCAGCAGUGGGGAAUAUUGGACAAUGGGCGCAAGCCUGAUCCAGCCAUGCCGCGUGAGUGAUGAAGGCCUUAGGGUUGUAAAGCUCUUUUGUCCGGGAAGAUAAUGACUGUACCGGAAGAAUAAGCCCCCGGCUAACUUCGUGCCAGCAGCCGCGGUAAUGUGACUACUG